ensembl:lncRNA
AGAGAGGGGGAGAAAGAGAGAGGGAGACAGAGAGAGGGAGAGACGGAGACACAGAGAGGGAGACACAGAGAGGGAGACACAGAGAGGGAGACACAGAGGGGGAGACACAGAGGGGGAGACAGAGACACUGGGAGACAGAGACACUGGGAGAGGGAGACGGAGAGAGGGAGACACAGAGAGGGGGAGACAGAGAGACGGAGAGAGGGAGACACAAAGAGAGGGAGACAGAGAGAGGGAGACAGAGAGAGAGAGAGAGAGAGGGAGACAGAGAGACGGAGAGAGGGAGACACAGAUAGGGAGACACAGAGAGACAGAGAGAGGGAGAGAGAGAGAGGGAGGCAGAGAGAGGGAGACAGAAAGGAGACAGAGCGACGGAGACAGAGAGAGGGAUACAGAGAGUGGGAGAGAGGGAGACGGAGACAGAGAGAGGGAGACAGAGAGAGGGACACAGAGAGUGGGAGAGAGGGAGACGGAGACCGAGAGACAGAGGCAGAGAGAGGGAGACAAAAAGAGGGAGACCGAGGGAGACGGAGACACAGGGAGAGGGAGACAGAGAGAGGGAGACAGAGAGAGGGAGACAGAGAGAGGGAGACGGAGACAGAGAGUAAACUAUGGCUGUUCAGGGGAACGUUAUUGUUGGGUGUGUUACUUGCCAUAGCAUUAAAAGUCCAUUUACAAUGGGGUCAAUGAAAAGCUUACUUGACUUAGAGGAAACCAGGGGAGGGGGAGGAAUUCACACUCGUUUCCAAAAAUAAGUUUUGCCCGUUCCUUGGGAUUUGUGUUACACCACUACUGAGAGGGGAGGAGGGGAAAGUUCUGGAGGAUGUGAAUGGAAGGCUUGAGGUUGAAGAGGAGAAAAAGACUGAAGAGAAGAGGGGGAGGAAAUAUGGUUUUCAUUAACAUGGAUACGGUGCCUGGUGCUGGGUUGACCGUUUUACUGUGUGGUCUGUUCAGAAAGAGAGAGAGUUGCAAAGGGUUGCUGACAGACAUGAAACAGAAGGUUGGAGAGAAAAGAGAGAAAG